rnacentral:misc_RNA from 1 species
UUGGUUGUCUUAGAUGAUGUUUGGAAUGAAAAGUAUGAUGCUUGGGACAUCUUACAGAGACCUUUUAAGUAUGGAGCAAAAGGAAGUAAAAUUGUGGUUACAACAAGAAAUGAAAGCGUAGCGUCGAUUAUGCACACUGUUCCAAGCUAUUAUUCGAAGGAAUUAUCUUAUGAAGAUUGUUGGUUAUUGUUUGUAAGAUAUGCAUUUGAUG